rnacentral:rRNA from 1 species
UACGGAGGAGGCAAGCGUUAUCCGGAAUUAUUGGGCGUAAAGCGUCCGCAGGUGGCACUUCAAGUCUGUCGUCAAAGACUGGGGCUUAACCCUGGAAAGGCGGUGGAAACUGAAGCGCUAGAGUGCGGUAGGGGUAGAGGGAAUUCCCGGUGUAGCGGUGAAAUGCGUAGAUAUCGUUUGGAACGCCAAUGGUGAAAACAGGUCGCUGGGGAUGAGCUGACGCUGAGACACGAAAGCCAGGGGAGCAAACGGG